AUCGAACGCUGGCGGCAUGCUUUACACAUGCAAGUCGAACGGUAACAGGCCUUCGGGUGCUGACGAGUGGCGAAAGGGGGAGUAAAGCAUGGGAACGAGCCGAGAGGGGGGGGAGAAAGAAGCGAGAGCUGUGCGAAUACUGCAGGAGAGGUGAGGAUGAAGGAGGGGGAGGAGGGAGAAAUGUUUGGCGUCGGGCAUGGGGAGGGGCCGAUGUCGGAUUAGGUAGGGGGUGGGGUAAAGGCCUACCAAGACGACGAUCUGUAGCGGGUGGGAGGGGACGACCCGCCACACUGGGACUGAGACACGGCCCAGACUCCUACAGGCGGCAGCAGUGGCGAAUUUUGGACACUGGGCGCAAGCCUGCUCCAGCAAUGCCGCGUGCGGGAAGAAGGCCUUCGGGUUGUAAACCGCUUUUGUACGGAACGACAAGGCUCUGGCUAAUCCCUGGGGCUGAUGACGGUACCGUAAGAAUAAGCACCGGCUAACUACGUG
rnacentral:rRNA from 1 species